ACGGUGGCCCCGACAGGUCUGAUCUCGGAAGGUUUCGGUAGGCCUAACUUGUCGGCGCUCGGCAGCACCCGAAGCUCCGGCCGCCGCCGCACGACGGUCCGCAAAGGGAAGCUGAUCAACUCUGGCCUGUACGGUACAUACCAAGUUCUUAUCUCCAGCCAUGUGCCUCCCCCUCAUUCGUCAACUAGGGUUUCCACUCUCCCGCUUUCCGUAAAUUUCUUCGUUAUACAUUGAUCUCGGAUGAACUCGACGGCAGUUUUCAGGUUUUAGGCUUCACAUAAUUUAGGAAGUUGAUGAAAUGUUUUAAGUUCGCAGCCGUUUCACUCCAAAGGAGUGUAUCCUUUGAUUUCUUUAGAAUGUCAUCUGGUAAAAUUUGGUCAUUGGAAUGUUUAUGCAGUUCUAGGUUACGCAAUCCAAUUGGAUGCGCUGGAGAUUGAACUCACCACUUCAAGCUUGUAGCAACCCUUUCUAUGAAAUUACGGAUUUCCUAAACGGGGAAGAUGAAUUUGUUCGCCGGGUUUCAACCAGCCACCCUUGAUUGUACAUUUGCAUUUCUCAUGUUUUAAUCCUAAAAUUUACAGUAAUGUUGAGCUAACGCUUGACAUAAAAACCUCAUACUACUUGGUAAAUUUAUCUUUCUUUUCCGUUUUUAACCACUUAGCUGUAAUUAUUUGAAGAUUACUAUGGAGUGUUGAGUCAGAUAGUAGUAUUGAUCCCAAUUUCUCAAAGAAGAAAUAUUUGGGGGCCUAUUCGGUGUUCUAAAGGGGGUCUCCUGGGUACUGCUAAAUAUCAGAUUAGCACAUCUAUUUGCUAUGGAAAAUUAGAAUUUGUUUGGACAUGCAUCUACUCCCUCCGAUCCAUAAAAAGUGUCGCCCAUUUUGUACUAAGUAGUACAAAUUUUGUACUAAGUGGGCGACACAUUUUUGGAUCAAAGGGAGUAUGUUUCUAUACAAUUUUAAAUUCAAUUCAUAUCAAGAAAGUAAAAAACAGAAUUGUGAUGUAAUAUUAGGCCUGAGCUACUAUUCAUAGUCAUCAUAGAGAAACUUGAAAUUUUCCUAUUCACUGCAGUAUUAUGGUUCUUCAGGUAUAGAUCAGGUUUGAGUCUGAAUUUGUAACAGGAUAGAUGUACGUUGUGUCAAUGUUAAUAAAUAGAAGAAAAAUGUGAAUUUUCCAUUUCUAUUAGAGUGCUAAUUAAUCAUGUAGUACGCUAGUACACCUUAUGUGCCUAGUGUACCCAAUAUGCCCCUGAAUGUAUCCCAAUUACGAUAUACCAACACCUCAUACAGUCGUAGGUUAGUCUAGAUCACCUUAACAGAACCAUCUAUGUGCAUAUCAAUGGGCAACACCAGAAACUGCUGUUUCCUCCCUGCUUUUCAGACAUCUGGCUGGACGCUUCAUGGUCGCAAAAUCCAGAGGAACAGCCUCCUGCUCCUUUUGAUCAUUGGAAACAAAUGGAGGUGAAGAAGCAGGGAAUUCUUAUGAAAUAUGCAUCAGCUAUGUGCUACAGUUACAUAGGUGCAGACAGCGGCGGGAAUUUGGAUGCACGGCAACUGUGAUAUGGUGUGAUCAACGAUCAGCUGGUCGGCCUGAUAAUGCACCAUACCUGCUUGCCUGCUUUGUGCAGAUGGAUAUGUGUUAAGGUGGACAGGUGGGUUCUGAAUUACUAAUGCAGUUUGCAUCGACAGGGUAUGAUUUGGUCCGAUGAAUUUUCCUGCUGUCAUGUCUGUGAUGAAGAGGGAAGUAGAAGGUAUUCUUCGUGAACAUUUUGUCUCUAGUGACAUCGAUAUGAGACCAAGGAAUAGAAAGCGAGAUAUUUGUCGUACUGCUGGAAGUGGAACUUUGCUUCAGUUUGUUGCCUGGCUCUCACCGAGUUCGUUUUUCCGUAUCCUCCUGUUCUUGUACAGGUUUUCUGUUAUGAGUAAUGUAAAAGAGUAAGCCGGUUCAUAAAAACUACGAGAUCAAUGAAUAGAAAACUCGAUCUGAAUAUUUCGGGAUUAGUUUUACCUCUACUAAAAUUUCUGAUAUCAAUUUCCUUUUUGCAUUUUCUAUGAAGCAGGUAUAUUUCGUCAAUGGUUCGCAACAUGGUUAGUUGGUAAAGGGUUUAUAGCCGCAACAGAUUUUCCUUAUCUACCAGCGCUUAUUUAGGGCAUUCUGAAUGUUGUUUGAUACUAGGAUGAGUUUAUUGAGUACCUACUGACUAUUGUAUUACUAUUCACUCCAUGUUAGUAAUUCUAUAUUCAUGUACACUCUGGAAUAAAUAGAUAACUAUUCCUUUUUAUGCAGACAUAUAAUUAUUCUAAUUUGCUGUUUCACAUUCUUUUAUCGAGUGAAGGAAACUACUUGCGUGUUUAAAGACCUGGAAGGGAGUUACUAAUUUGAUUUAACUUUCUUUGCUUCCAGGCCGAGUCAAAGAAGCAAAGCAGCUGUGCCAUAAAUCUGGGAGCACAGAGCAGUUGGGUCAUAAAAAUUUAUGACAGGAUCUGCUCCUCUGGACGUGCACAGCAAAACAAGAUGCAAUCAUAGUGUUCAUAACCAUUGGCCCAUUCAGAGGAUGAGCUUGUUUAGGAGAGCACAGACCAGAGGGGCUUCUGAAAGAACUAGAGAGAACAUGCAAAGGUGAUAUUGUGGCAGUACACAAGGACAUUCCUUCAUCCUCUGAUCACUACUGGAAAUCUGGAAUGGGAGCAGUGUCUGAUACGACAGUAGCCGCCCAACUCAAGUAAUCAUGGUUGUUCCUUGCUUAAAGGAUGGCUCUUGCUUUCCUUUAGAAGUCUUUAUCCUUUUCCUCCAAUGCCAAGCAAAAUUUAGUGCCUUGACCAGCACUUAUAGGCUGUACUUUGGAUGAGUAAGUAAUCUUGGAAUUAUGAAACUGUAUCUAUUGGUAUGGGAAGUUUCAUCAAUUUAAAAACGGUGAAUCUGAUGGUUAGCAAAUACCAAUAUAUCCGUAACAAUGUCCACUAUGAAACCUGCAGUUUUCAAAUGUACUAAAUGUUCAAUCAGUUUUAGCACUUGUUCUUAUGUACAAAAA